UACGAAGGGGGCUAGCGUUGCUCGGAAUCACUGGGCGUAAAGCGCACGUAGGCGGAUCUUUAAGUCAGAGGUGAAAUCCCAAGGCUCAACCUUGGAACUGCCUUUGAUACUGAGGAUCUUGAGUUCGGGAGAGGUGAGUGGAACUGCGAGUGUAGAGGUGAAAUUCGUAGAUAUUAGGAAGAACACCAGUGGCGAAGGCGGCUUACUGGUCCGGUACUGGACGCUGAGGUGCGAAAGCGUGGGGAGCAA
rnacentral:rRNA from 1 species